rnacentral:rRNA from 1 species
CAAUAGCGUAUAUUAAAGUUGUUGCAGUUAAAAAGCUCGUAGUUGGAUUUCUGGUGGGAGCGAUCGGUCUGGCGCUUAGCGCGAGUACUUGCAUCGUCUCCGGCCAUCCUUGGGGAAAGUCUGUCUGGCAUUAAGUUGUCGGGCAGAGGAUCCUCAUCGUUUACUGUGAAAAAAUUAGAGUGUUCAAAGCAGGCUUAUGCCGUUGAAUAUAUUAGCAUGGAAUAAUAAGAUAGGACUUUGGUACUAUUUUGUUGGUUUGCGCACCAAAGUAAUGAUUAAUAGGGACAGUUGGGGGUAUUCGUAUUCCGUUGUCAGAGGUGAAAUUCUUGGAUUUACGGAAGACGAACUACUGCGAAAGCAUUGACCAAGGAUGUUUUCAUUAA